rfam:Ictidomys tridecemlineatus contig099862, whole genome shotgun sequence.
GGGGAUAUAGCUCAAAUGGUAGAGCGUUUGCCUCAUGUGCACAACGUCCUGGGUUCAAUCCCCAGAACCACCA